GUGAGGAAUAUUGCGCAAUGGAGGCAACUCUGACGCAGCCAUGCCGCGUGCAGGAAGAAGGCGCUACGCGUUGUAAACUGCUUUUAACCGGGAAGAAACCCCAGGACGUGUCCUGGGUUGACGGUACCGGAGGAAUAAGCACCGGCUAACUUCGUGCCAGCAGCCGCGGUAAUACGAAGGGUGCAAGCGUUAUCCGGAUUCAUUGGGUUUAAAGGGUGCGUAGGCGGAGCGUUAAGUCAGUGGUGAAAUCCUGCAGCUUAACUGUAGACUUGCCAUUGAUACUGGCGCUCUUGAGUGCGCUUGAAGUGGGCGGAAUGUGCCGUGUAGCGGUGAAAUGCUUAGAUAUGGUACAGAACACCAAUUGCGAAGGCAGCUCACUAAGGCGAUACUGACGCUGAGGCACGAAAGCGUGGGGAUCGAACAGGAUUAGAAACCCGAGUAGUCC
rnacentral:rRNA from 1 species